CGUAGCUAUCCCAUAGUUCCCGCAGUCUCCCGAACCCCUUAGAAUUCUGGGUUGAGAGCCCAGGGCUGAUGGGGCAAAUCAUUGUCGCGGGUGUUUCUGGGUAAAUUCAUAA